GCGCACGGGUGCGGAACACGUGUGCAACCUGCCUUUAUCUGGGGGAUAGCCUUUCGAAAGGAAGAUUAAUACCCCAUAAUAUAUUGAGUGGCAUCACUUGAUAUUGAAAACUCCGGUGGAUAGAGAUGGGCACGCGCAAGAUUAGAUAGUUGGUGAGGUAACGGCUCACCAAGUCAAUGAUCUUUAGGGGGCCUGAGAGGGUGAUCCCCCACACUGGUACUGAGACACGGACCAGACUCCUACGGGAGGCAGCAGUGAGGAAUAUUGGACAAUGGGUGAGAGCCUGAUCCAGCCAUCCCGCGUGAAGGACGACUGCCCUAUGGGUUGUAAACUUCUUUUAUACUGGGAUAAACCUACCCUCGUGAGGGUAGCUGAAGGUACAGUAUGAAUAAGCACCGGCUAACUCCGUGCCAGCAGCCGCGGUAAUACGGAGGGUGCAAGCGUUAUCCGGAUUUAUUGGGUUUAAAGGGUCCGUAGGCGGACUCGUAAGUCAGUGGUGAAAUCUCAUAGCUUAACUAUGAAACUGCCAUUGAUACUGCGGGUCUUGAGUAAAGUAGAAGUGGCUGGAAUAAGUAGUGUAGCGGUGAAAUGCAUAGAUAUUACUUAGAACACCAAUUGCGAAGGCAGGUCACUAUGUUUUAACUGACGCUGAUGGACGAAAGCGUGGGGAGCGAACAGGAUUAGAUACCCUGGUAGUCCACGCCGUAAACGAUGCUAACUCGUUUUUGGGUUUUCGGAUUCAGAGACUAAGCGAAAGUGAUAAGUUAGCCACCUGGGGAGUACGUUCGCAAGAAUGAAACUCAAAGGAAUUGACGGGGGCCCGCACAAGCGGUGGAUUAUGUGGUUUAAUUCGAUGAUACGCGAGGAACCUUACCAAGGCUUAAAUGGGAAUUGACAGGUUUAGAAAUAGAUCCUUCUUCGGACAAUUUUCAAGGUGCUGCAUGGUUGUCGUCAGCUCGUGCCGUGAGGUGUUAGGUUAAGUCCUGCAACGAGCGCAACCCCUGUCACUAGUUGCCAUCAUUCAGUUGGGGACUCUAGUGAGACUGCCUACGCAAGUAGAGAGGAAGGUGGGGAUGACGUCAAAUCAUCACGGCCCUUACGCCUUGGGCCACACACGUAAUACAAUGGCCGGUACAGAGGGCAGCUACUAUGCGAAUAGAUGCGAAUCUCGAAAGCCGGUCUCAGUUCGGAUUGGAGUCUGCAACUCGACUC
rnacentral:rRNA from 1 species